AACGAACGCUGGCGGCAUGCCUAACACAUGCAAGUCGAACGAGACCUUCGGGUCUAGUGGCGCACGGGUGCGUAACGCGUGGGAACCUGCCCUUAGGUUCGGAAUAACUCCCCGAAAGGGGUGCUAAUACCGGAUAAUGUCUUCGGACCAAAGAUUUAUGGCCGUUGGAUGGGCCCGCGUUGGAUUAGCUGGUUGGUAGGGUAAAAGCCUACCAAGGCGACGAUGCAUAGCUGGUCUGAGAGGAUGAUCCGCCACACUGGGACUGAGACACGGCCCAGACUCCUACGGGAGGGAGCAGUGGGGAAUAUUGGAGAAUGGGGGAAAGCCUGACCAAGCAGUGCCGGGGGAGUGAUGAAGGCGUUAGGGUUGUAAAGCCCUUUUACCCGAGAUGAUAAUGACAGUACCGGGAGAAUAAGCUCCGGCUAACUACGUG
rnacentral:rRNA from 1 species